rnacentral:lncRNA from 1 species
GUCCUUCGAGCAAAACUGCGGCAAAAGAAACAUCAUCCAAUUGUUAUAAAUGGAUUUGAAGAGAUGAGUUGGGUGAAAAAUUCCCAUUCUGCACUGAUAGGAUGGGAGAAGGCUCUCUUAGAAGAAUUCUCUUUUUUGACAUAGCUGCGAUUUGUCGCAUGAUUAUCCAUUCCAGACGCCACGACAUGAAAUCCAAUUGCUUCAAGUUCAGAGCAAAUAUCAUUCAAAGAACCACCUAGAUAACUUAUGAUACCACAAAACACUACUCUAUGAGUGCAAUAAACUUCAUCCAGAAGGAUGAUUACUACACGCUCUCGACGAUUAAGGUCGUGUACUCUACGCUUCAAGUAAGGAUUCGUAUGUGGAUGAAAUCCAGUUCCAACUUUUAAAGGCUGCAUCUAUCGAUCAAGUGCUCUGGGAGAU